rnacentral:rRNA from 1 species
GACGAACGCUGGCGGCGUGCUUAACACAUGCAAGUCGAACGAUGAAGCUGGAGCUUGCUCUGGUGGAUUAGUGGCGAACGGGUGAGUAACACGUGAGUAACCUGCCCUGGACUCUGGGAUAAGCGUUGGAAACGACGUCUAAUACCGGAUAGGACCUCGGAUCGCAUGAUCUGGGGUGGAAAGUUAUUCGGUAUGGGAUGGACUCGCGGCCUAUCAGCUUGUUGGUGAGGUAAUGGCUCACCAAGGCGUCGACGGGUAGCCGGCCUGAGAGGGCGACCGGCCACACUGGGACUGAGACACGGCCCAGACUCCUACGGGAGGCAGCAGUGGGGAAUAUUGCGCAAUGGGCGAAAGCCUGACGCAGCAACGCCGCGUGAGGGAUGACGGCCUUCGGGUUGUAAACCUCUUUCAGCAGGGAAGAAGCGAAAGUGACGGUACCUGCAGAAGAAGCACCGGCUAACUACGUGCCAGCCGCCGCGGUAAGAC